CCCUUGGAUGUUCUGGGCCGCACGCGCGCUACACUGAUGCAUUCAACGAGUCCAACCUUGACCGAGAGGUCCGGGUAAUCUUUGAAACUGCAUCGUGAUGGGGCUAGAUUAUUGCAAUUAUUAAUCUUCAACGAGGAAUGCCUAGUAAGCGUGAUUCAUCAAAUCGCGUUGAUUACGUCCCUGCCCUUUGUACACACCGCCCGUCGCUCCUACCGAUUGAGUGUGUUGGUGAGGAGUUUGGAUUGGCCUCGGAAGGUGGUUCGCCACCGUCCGUAGCUGAGAAGUUCUCCAAACCGCCCCACUUAGAGGAAGGAGAAGUCGUAACA
rnacentral:rRNA from 1 species